rnacentral:rRNA from 1 species
GAUGAACGCUGGCGGCGUGCCUAAUACAUGCAAGUCGAGCGAACGGACGAGAAGCUUGCUUCUCUGAUGUUAGCGGCGGACGGGUGAGUAACACGUGGAUAACCUACCUAUAAGACUGGGAUAACUUCGGGAAACCGUAGCUAAUACCGGAUAAUAUUUUGAACCGCAUGGUUCAAAAGUGAAAGUCGGUCUUUCUGUCACUUCUAGAUGGUUCCGCGCUGCUUUAGCUAGUUGGUAAGGUAACGGCUUACGAAGGCAACGAUGCAUAGCCGACCUGAGAGAGGGAUCGGCCACACUGGAACUGAGACACGGUCCAGACUACUACGGGAGGGAGCAGAAGGGAAUCUUACGCAAUGGGCGAAAGCCUGACGGAGCAAGGCCGAGUGAGUGAUGAAGGUCUUCGGAUCGUAAAACUCUGUUAUUAGGGAAGAACAUAUGUGUAAGUAACUGUGCACAUCUUGACGGUAACUAAUCAGAAAGCAACGGCUAACUACGUG